UGUCCCCCACCGCCGUUGGAUCCGAGAUCCCACCCUCGUCCUUCCUCUCCUUCUCCGAUCCGCUCAUGAACUGCCUCAGCCGAGGCACAUAAUGCAAAGGGGCUUUCUAUAAGACCAAUAUUAUUUGGUAUAUGAAUUCAGGCAAAUCACAACGGUGCAUCUAUGUUUCGUUUCUCCAAACGAUGACUUACUAUGUCUAGAGGCUACGAUUGUGCAUGACAGAUGUGUCGACCUUGUGGACAAGCAACGUGGAUGAGAGGUAUGCACAAGCAGCAAUGACAUGGGUAUGCAGAGAGCCAUGGAGGCAACGGCCACACGAGGUGUGUUGUGUGCUACAACUGCAUCAAUUUGCUUCCUACUUGUGUAACUUGGUGAAAAUUGUAAUUCCACGAUCUAACCCCAACGAUCGGUGUUGGAAAGAAAUAUUGCGGAGGACGCGAUCAAUAUUACAUAAACUGAAGGAACAAAUCAGUGACGGUACUCCAGUUAUUCGAGCUGGUGCUGGAACAGGCAUAUCUGCAAAGUUCGAAGAAGCUGGUGGUGGGGUUGAUCUUAUAGUGCUGUAGCUGUACAACUCUGGACGGUUUCAAAUGGCUGGAAGGGGCUCACUAGCUGGGCUCUUGCCCUUUGGUGAUGCAAAUGACAUUGUACUUCAGAUGGCCAACGAAGUGUUGCCUGUGGUUAAAGGAGUUCCUGUUCUUGCUGGGGUAUGCGCUACAGAUCCAUUUCGUCGAAUGGAAUACUUUCUGAGACAACUAGAAACCAUUGGAAUUUGCGGUGUGCAAAACUUCCCAACCGUAGGUCUGUUUGAUGGGAAUUUUAGACAGAAUUUGGAGGAAACUGGAAUGAGGUACAUCAUGGAAGUGGAGAUGAUUUCAAUGGCUCAUCGCAUGGGUUUCCUUACUACUCCAUAUGCUUUCAAUCCGGAUGAAGUUGCUGCCAUGGCCAAGGCAGGAUCUCAUAUCGUAGUUGCACAUAUGGGUCUGACAACUGCAGGGUCUUUCGGGGCAAUGACAGCUACCACUUUAGAUGAUAGUGUUUUACGUGUUCAGGCCAUUGCGGAUGCGGCAUUUGGGGUUAAUCCUGAUAUCAUUGUUUUAUGUCACGAAGGCCCCAUAUCUAGACCCCUAGAAGCUGAAUUCAUAUUGAAGAAUACUGAAAGGGUUCAUGGAUUUUACGGUGCAUCAAGCAUGGAAAGAUUACCAGUAGAGCAAACUAUCACGAACACCGUAACUUGGUGAAAAUUGUAAUUCCACGAUCUAACCCCAACGAUGCUCAUGUUGCCGGUGUUGGAAAGUUCCUCAUGUUUCCUAGAGAGUUGCAACUCUCAGGGGAGUCAGUCAAGCUAAUGAAGCUUGGGGAAGCAGUUGCAAAGGGAACUAUUAAUAACGAGACACUUGGUUACUUCACCUGAAGGGUCUAUCUUUUCCUAACAUGCUUGGGAAUUGAUAAGGAUCGGUUGCACUCCAGACAACAUUUACCUAAUGAAAUGGCUCAUUAUAUUGCUGAUUGUUGGGUGCUGAGAUAGAUUACUCCUAUGGGUGGAUAGAGUGUGUGGGUAUUGCUGAUAGAUCUGCAUAUGAUUUGAUAACUCACAGUGAGAAAAGUGGUGUCUCAUGGAAGAAUAGAAGAAAAAGGAUUAGAUUAGUGUCUAUCAUUAAAAUUUUAUGUUGUCUCUUCAGAAAUAAUUUGUGCAGUAUUGAUAAUGUUUCUUCGACAUCAGCUCAAUUUAUUUAAGCGGUGUAUUUAUAAUAGUAUUAUAUAUUUAUAUACCGUCAAUAUAAUAUUAGUGUAUGGUGAUAUUUUGUCACACAUUUUGCAUACCAUAGUAAUAUUUGUCGUUCCGUA